AUUGAACGCUGGCGGCAGGCCUAACACAUGCAAGUCGAGCGGAGCGGCGGACGGGUGAGUAAUGCCUAGGAAUCUGCCUGGUAGUGGGGGAUAACGUCCGGAAACGGGCGCUAAUACCGCAUACUAUCAGGUGAGCCUAGGUCGGAUUAGCUAGUUGGUGGGGUAAAGGCCUACCAAGGCGACGUGCCGUAACUGGUCUGAGAGGAUGAUCAGUAACCCUGGAACUGAGAACGGGGCAAUGCCCCUAUGGGAGGCAGCAGUGGUGAAUAUUGGAAAAUGGGUGAAAGCCUGAUCCAGCCAUGCCGGGUGUGUGAAGAAGGUCUUCGGAUUGUAAAGCACUUUAAGUUGGGAGGCGUUACCAACAGAAUAAGCACCGGCUAACUUCGUGCCAGCAGCCGCGGAAUUC
rnacentral:rRNA from 1 species